UACGGAGGGGACUAGCGUUGUUCGGAAUUACUGGGCGUAAAGCGCACGUAGGCGGAUUUGUAAGUCAGGUGGAAAUUCCGGGGCUCAACCUCGGAACUGCCUUUGAUACUGCAAAUCUCGAGUCCGGAAGAGGUGAGUGGAAUUCCUAGUGUAGAGGUGAAAUUCGUAGAUAUUAGGAAGAACACCCGUGGCGAAAGCGGCUCUCUGGAACGGUACUGACGCUGAGCCGCGAAAGCGUGGGGAGCGAACAGG
rnacentral:rRNA from 1 species